rnacentral:tRNA from 1 species
GGAGGUGCGGUUCAAGUGGUAGAAUGCUUGCCUGGUCAGCACUAGGCUCUGGGUUCAAACCCCGGUACUGCCA